rnacentral:rRNA from 1 species
GAUGAACGCUGGCGGCGUGCCUAAUACAUGCAAGUCGAGCGAACAGACGAGGAGCUUGCUCCUCUGACGUUAGCGGCGGACGGGUGAGUAACACGUGGAUAACCUACCUAUAAGACUGGGAUAACUUCGGGAAACCGGAGCUAAUACCGGAUAAUAUAUUGAACCGCAUGGUUCAAUAGUGAAAGACGGUUUUGCUGUCACUUAUAGAUGGAUCCGCGCCGCAUUAGCUAGUUGGUAAGGUAACGGCUUACCAAGGCGACGAUGCGUAGCCGACCUGAGGGGGUGGAUCGGCAGCCCGGAAGAGAGGACGGGGCCCGACCCCGGAGGGGAGACACAGUAGGGAAUCCUACGGGAGGGGGCAAAGGCUGACGGAGGAAAGUCGGGGUAAGGCUGAAGGAGCUCGGAUCCGUAAACCAUGUUAGUAGGGGAGGAAUAAAGGUGUAGUGACCGGGAACGUAAUGACGGUACCCGAAGAAGAAGCCACGGCUAACUACGUG